CAAUAGCGUAUAUUUAAGUUGUUGCAGUUAAAAAGCUCGUAGUUGGAUUUCGGUUAAGAGCGACCGGUCCGCCGUUUGGUGUGCACUGGUUGGUUUUAGCUUCCUGUAGAGGACGUGCUCUGGGUUUAACGACCUGGACUCGGAGUCUACGUGGUUACUUUGAAAAAAUUAGAGUGUUCAAAGCGGGCUUACGCUUGAAUAUUUCAGCAUGGAAUAACACUAUAGGACUCCUGUCCUAUUUCGUUGGUCUCGGGACGGGAGUAAUGAUUAAGAGGAACAGUUGGGGGCAUUCGUAUUUCAUUGUCAGAGGUGAAAUUCUUGGAUUUAUGAAAGACGAACUUCUGCGAAAGCAUUUGCCAAGGAUGUUUUCAUUAA
rnacentral:rRNA from 1 species